UCCCAAUCCACACCCACGUUUUUCAUCAGCUCAAGGAGAGGGUGAGAGAGGGAGAGUUUGCUCAAGGGAAGUCAAGGGGAGUAGAGAAGUGAGAAGAAAAAAAAAAAAAAAGACUUCUUGAAGGUAAAAAUACACCUCUCCCUUGUCUUCUCAAAUUUUUUUUUUUACCCAUCUCAUCCUAUUGUCUAGAUGCUCCCUUGGGUUAUGUAUUAAUGGUAAAUUGAGUUUUUGGUGUGUAUGCAUGUGUGGGUGUGAAUUGGUGACAUUGUCUUACAAUUUUAUUCAAAAUAUGCACUGCUGCAAUUUCUAAUAUUUAAAAGAAAUAUCAAACCUGUUUAUUUCUCAAAUCUGAAUUUAUUGUAAGAUAAUUGGUGUGUUUAGAGCUUGUGACAAUUUUAUUAGCCCCUAAUUGUGUGUUUUUAGGGCUUGGAUAAUUUGUUGAAAAAUCUGGUCCUCAAUCUCUGAAAAACAGUCCACUUUUAGUAAUUUUAUAAAAUUCUAGAAAAAUCAUCUCGUGUUGGUUCUUUUGUCAACAUUUAGAAAUCUAAGUCCUCUUUCCAAUAGAUUUUAUUUGAGUGAAAACCAUCGGGUAGAUUGAGAGAAACGCUAGUUUUCCCAAUGGGUGACAAAUCUGGACAGGUUUUUGAAUAUAGCUUGUGGAUGAAUUUCUGGAGGUGCUAUGCACAUUCUGUGAAUUGGAAUUGAAACUAGACAGGUUAAUUAUUAUUUCUGUGCAAUUUCAGCCCCUAAUUUGACCUAGAAGUAUUUUUACCAAAGCAUUCUUGUUAGCCCUACAGGACCGACCGGUGCUGGAAAUUGUGUUCUACUAUGUGAUUUGUCUCUAAGUGUUUCAGGCCUUUUUAAUGUUAUUUUCUUGCUUAACUAUACUUAUGUACUUAUGUAUGAUGAUCAUGGACUAUAUUUCCUCUAGUAUGUUUUUCCCAUACUCGUUUAAUUGACCAAAUUACCGAAUGUGACUAACUCACCUAGCAAAAGAUCUAAUAAACGGGAAAUGAUAAGGGGUUGGCAAUGGGUGACGUUUAUCUUAGUGUUUUAGAACAAUUUUAUACAUAUGCAUGACAUGAAUUAUGAUGGGGUUAAUACCAAAUGAGUUAAGUCUUGCGUAAGCAGUUUAAGCGAGCCCUUUGGUAUGGUAUGUGCAGGGUGUAAACGAGCCCUUUGGUAUGGUAUAUGCAGGGUGUAAGCGAGCCCGAGGCACGAUUUGGGUGUAAGCAAGCCCACUUGUAGGCCGUCCCUUUUGAGGUCCAUCAAUGCCACUGACAGGUAAAUAAUCGGAAGGUGGGCAUAGGUGGUAAGGUCUACAAAGCAGCAAAAGGGGGAGUUCUGAAUAGUCUGGUGUUCAAUCCUUGUGGUUGGGUAGAAUGAUCUCUUUGGGGGGUCCUAAAUGCCUAGUCUAACUACUGAUUUAUAAAACCUUAAUGUGAAGAAGCAGCUUACGACGGGGAAGGUUAUCCUGAAAACAAUCAAGAUGAAGUUUUAGAGCUGUGGUUCACUUGAAAAUUUAGACUAGUAGUUUGUUUUUGUGUUUUCUCUUCUUUUACCUUUUGGUUUGACAAUAUUUGUAAACCUCUAGUGGAACUCAAAUCAGUUAUCCAUGUUAUAACUCUGCUUGUAUGUGUAUAUUAACGUAUUGUGGUUAUCUAUUUUGUUUGAGUUGUACUUUA